AACAGGGAGAAUAAAAAGAAGAGCAGAAGAGUCAGGUUUAAAGAAGGGAGUGGAGCAAGUGUAGCUCCUACUAAGGAGGAGAAGAGGAUCUGGAUAUCCAGGAUCUGGAUACAGCUGAGACGG